GUGUGUGUAAUUUAAAAAAAAUAUCAAGUUGUGACCCUGAAAAUAGAUAUCACCUCGCACACC
rnacentral:tRNA from 5 species